UAGAAUCAUAUAUAAAUUUUAUGAAUUGGUUUCUCUAUGAUUUAGUACAUCAAGUUGUCUGAUGAAUGUAUUUUGUAUUUGUGGGAACCUCUUUGAGGUGGGAUUUGGUAAAUCAUGAGGUUAUUUUAAAGUAUAUUAUGUAUUAAAAUGUUUUUUGAUUAGAGAUAUGGUAUAUAAUCAUUAUUCUGACAAAGAUAUGUUUGUGAGCUUUCGAAAUCUUAUAUAUAUGACUUAAGCAUAUUGAUACUAUUACGGAUUCCACGAACAUGAUAUUUAAAGAAAAGAAUGGAAGUACUAUUAUUAUGAAAUAUUAUGCAGAAUAAGAAAUUUCAAUAUGAUGUAUAAGUAUGAAAGGUUUUCGGGUUAUGUCCUCUGGUGAUCUGAACUCUGUCAGUAGGGGUUAAUUACUGACUUUCCAUGGAAAAUGGUAUAUGAUUGGCCAUUAAGUGGGACUGGCUCUACUGUACCCACCCCUUGUUGGUUACGGCCAACUUGUGGGGGGAAGCCAACCUACCCCCAUGGUUGGAAGAUAUGUAUUAUGAUGUAAUCCCGGGAAUACCUGGCAUUGUGGGGAAUGCUGGAUGCCUAGCACUGUGGUGCUAGAAGCCUCCCAAAUAAGUACAGACUUAUUAGAUAUGGGCUAACCAACAAGUUAUUUAUGAACAGCUAUAUUAUGUUAUUAAUCAUGAGAGAAUGAUUUUGUUUAAAUGCAUUAU